rnacentral:misc_RNA from 1 species
AACGCAUCUUGCACUCUUUGGUCUUCCAAAGGGUAUGCCUGUUUGAGUAUCAUUAAUAAUAUCAAUACAAAUCAAAUCAAUCAAAUCAACUUGAUAGUUUGAUAUGUGUUUGGAUGUUGAAGGUAUGCUGGCCUUUGUGGUUAGCUCCUUUUAAAUAAAUUAGCAGAACCAUUUUAGGACUGGCUUCAGUUUGAUAAUGAACAUUUUAUCGACGCUGUUGCUUGUUAUUUUUUGUUCAGCUGAUAAUUGUCUAUUUUUGGACUGUCUUUUAAAAGACAUCUAAUUCUUUAAUUGAUCUCAAAUCAGGUAGGAUUACCCGCUGAACUUAA